AAAGUGUCCUAAAAGUUUUACAAUCGCUAGCUGUGCGGUAUACGGCAUGCUUGAUGGCCUAUCUUCCAAUGUGAGUAGCGGCCAUAACGCUAAGAUGUAUACGGCUGCGCUGGGCCCCUCCUAUAUGCUAUAUGCAAUCCGCAUGCCACAUACCUAUAGGUAUAACCCAACGAGUGCAGGGUGCUGUAGUGUGACAGUCAUUAGUCGUGUUCGACAGCCGCGGGCGAGUAUGAGGUGUUCGGGGUGGAUGAUGAAGUGCAGUGAAGUGGUGAGACGGUGGAUAUAGCGCGCAUUGUGUUUCCGAUUGACGUCGACGGCGUCCUUGUGUCUGCUAUUGGCGUCUCCGGCGUCUCCUCGACGGGCGGCUCCUGAGGAGGGGAAAAAGAUGGAGAUUACGUUCAUAACUCGUCUCGUGCAUUUUUAUCCUCCGUAGGCGAUGGGUAUUCUUGAAUGAACCCAUAGUGAAGAAAAAACCAACAAGUGACGAGAUAUGACAAAAUUUUUGUCAACAGAAAACGAGCAACAAAAUUAUACGUAGGUAAAACAAUAAAGAAAAAAUCUGAUAAAGAUACAGAGUAUUUAUCUUUAUUUUUAAAGCAUCUGAAUCCUUUUUUGCCAGGUUGCGAGCAU